rnacentral:ncRNA from 1 species
UAAAAGGUAAUGAUAAAGAGGAGUACAUAAGUGAUGACUUUAUAGAGAAUAGCAUUCACCGGCUGAGAGAUGCUUAAGUAUAGCUUAUGGAAGGUAGCUUUUGAACCGAGAAUCUGAAUUGAUAGUAAGAUUUUACGAGUGAUCUACGUUAUAAGAUUAAGAGAUGCAUCAAAUAAAUGAUUUUGAUUUUUUUGAAAUCUAUUUUGUAGUUUUUUUAAAUUUGAUAUUUGAUGUAACAAAGGUGGUACCGCGAUAAUUCGCCCUUUAU